rnacentral:sRNA from 1 species
GCCGGGCAUGGUGGUGCAUGCCUGUAAUCCCAGUUGGUAGGGAGGCUGAGACAGUAUGAUCACAAGUUCAAAGCCAGCCUCAGCAACAGCAAGGCACUAAGCAACUCAGUGAGACCCUGCCUCUA